UAAGGAAUAUUGGUCAAUGGACGCAAGUCUGAACCAGCCAUGCCGCGUGAAGGAUGAAGGUCCUCUGGAUUGUAAACUUCUUUUAUCUGGGACGAAAACGGGAUUUUUAUCUCAAUUGACGGUACCAGAGGAAUAAGCACCGGCUAACUCCGUGCCAGCAGCCGCGGUAAUACGGAGGGUGCGAGCGUUAUCCGGAUUUACUGGGUUUAAAGGGUGCGUAGGUGGGCUUAUAAGUCAGUGGUGAAAUCUCCGAGCUUAACUUGGAAACUGCCGUUGAUACUAUAGGUCUUGAAUUAUCUGGAGGUAAGCGGAAUAUGUCAUGUAGCGGUAAAAUGCUUAGAUAUGACAUAGAACACCAAUUGCGAAGGCAGCUUACUACAUAUAAAUUGACGCUGAGGCACGAAAGCGUGGGGAUCAAACA
rnacentral:rRNA from 1 species